rnacentral:rRNA from 1 species
CAGUAGCCACGGGAAUACGUAGGUGGCAAGCGUUGUCCGGAAUUAUUGGGCGUAAAGGGCUCGCAGGCGGUUUCUUAAGUCUGAUGUGAAAGCCCCCGGCUCAACCGGGGAGGGUCAUUGGAAACUGGGAAACUUGAGUGCAGAAGAGGAGAGUGGAAUUCCACGCGUAGCGGUGAAAUGCGUAGAGAUGUGGAGGAACACCAGUGGCGAAGGCGACUCUCUGGUCUGUAACUGACGCUGAGGAGCGAAAGCGUGGGGAGCGAACAGGAUUAGAUACCCCUGUAGUCCCUGUCUCUUAUAC